CUGCGAGUCACCUCCACCGAUAACCACGCUCCAGAGAGGAGGUAAAGCGCCCUGCAAAGGGGAAAAAUGAGUUUGGGCAAGCGGCAGACCCUGGAAAACUCAUGUUGGGGAAGAGCCGCUCCCAGCGACUCCACUCAGGUGCCAAGUGGGGAUGGGAUGGUGACUCCAGCGGCCUGUUCCAACGCUUCACUUCUUAACCCACCCAAUCCCCUCGCUUCAAGGACCAGCUCUCAGGACAAGUGUCAGCACCGUGAAAACGCAGCUGGGCCUUCUUCCACCGUUCGUACAUAACAUAAAUGCCCCCGCAGCUCUGACAGAGCACGGAGGUCGUUUGGACUAAGCUGGUGAGGCCCAGGGAGGACUGGUGCACAGCGGCCGUGUAAAGGGAGGAAAAUUCAGGGCUGUCUUACGCGAGGACUCGCUUCUCCACGAUGUGGGUGAGGGAGUUGAACACGCCUUGCCGGACGUGAGCCUCCAGCGGGGGGUAGAAGUUGGGAAUGAUCUGGAAACAGGAGAACAACAGCGUUAGAGCCAUGAACCCCCCUGCCUGCCCUCGGGCUUGUGCCAGGCAGCAGGACACAGCCAGAUGAGCUAAAACCACCGCUCAGCUCGAGGCCGUUUCCUCUCUCGUCCAGUCCUUUGCUUCUGGAAGUAGCAAGAUGACUCAUCCCCGAAAUCUCGGUCAUCCCGGGAACCUUGCACCCAGUUCUUUUGGACUCGGGCAGCGCGGGGAUGGGAGGACACGGAGGGAGCAAAGUGAUGCAGCUCAGAGCCAGAGAAGAUCUCGCUUCCAAGAAGCACUAUCAGCCCUCUCUGAAACCAAACUCCCAGAACCAGCAGCUCUUUGCAGUGCUGUUCCCAGGACCAAGGGGCAGGAGCAGCUCUGCUCCCUGCCCAAGGAGGGACCGACAUCCUUCAGAAGGGAGAUAACAGGUCCAACUUGUCCCCCCACCACACGGAGAUUCCGUUUGCCCUCAGGGGACGACACCGGGCCAAGCAUUAAGUACUAAAGGCAACAAUUCAGAAGCCUUUUUUCCUACCAACGCUCAUCAUUCCGCAAGAAUUUCAUUGCAGAGCCGAGAAGUCUCAGGCGUGUUCCCACAGCUAACGAACGACACGUGGGCCCAACGCUCCGAGCGCCAGAAACGGCCCCGGAUUUAUCCAGAGCCCACAGGGACUUGCCAAAGCCUCUGGUCGUUGGGUUGAAGAGGUGAAUAAUUUGGCCGAGCUCUUGGCAGAUCAGCGAGGGGAAAAUCCCUCCUUAACGCAGCAGGGUAAGGGGAGGUUAAGAGGGUUGCCAGCAGAUACUGAGCUAUUCCGCAGGCGAUUUUGCAAUCAAGGCAGAACAGACCAGAUGAUGCACUGAGGAAUGUGCAAUAAAAAGAAGAGGGAACAGCUUGUUUGUUUGUUUGUUUUUUUGGCUCUGAAGAGCAGGCAGCGAGACGACGCUGUUUUGCUGCUCAAGUAUCACCGGCUCUAAGGAUUCGUGGAAUUCCCUUCCUGCGGGAUGGGGCAGCAACGCAGCUUCGCUCCAAAACUCGGGGGGGUGAAGACAUGCCCUGUGUGAACCUGCGGCACCAAUCCUGCCCUCGGGACACUGAGCAGGGCUCAGCGCUUAAGUGCUCAGGGCUUCCAGACCCCUGAGCAUCUCUGUGUCCCCGUGCUGGGCUCUCUCCUUGUCCUUCUUAAACUGGGGAGCGCAGAACUGGUCCCAGUAAGUCCAGAUGGGGCCUCAGCAGCGGGAGGACAACCUGCUGGCCACGCUCUUCCUCACACACCCCAGGUACCGCUGGGUUCUUGGCCACAUGGUCCCUCUACCCUGUCCUGGGUGACACUCCCAAGUUGUCCCGCUGGUGACAGCCCUCAUUGCUCAUCCCCCCGUCAUGUAACUCAUUUGCAAGGCAGAGAAUUCCCUGGAAAGAGCGCGGAGCGGCUCAC